rnacentral:rRNA from 1 species
AACGAACGCUGGCGGCAUGCCUAACACAUGCAAGUCGAACGAUAUCUUCGGGUCUAGUGGCGCACUGGUGCGUAACGCGGGGGGAUCUGCCCUCAGGUUCGGAAUAACCAUUGGAAACGAUAGCUAAUACCGGAUGAUUACCUUAAGUCCAAAGAUUUAACGCCUGAGGAUGAGCGCGCGUAGGAUUAGCUAGUUGGUGUGGUAAAGGCGCAUCAAGGCGACGAUCGUUAGCUGGUCUGGGAGGGUGAGCAGCCACACUGGGACUGAGACACGGCCCAGAAUCCUACGGGAAGCAGGAGUGGGGAAUAUUGGACAAUGGGCGAAAGCCUGAUCCAGCAAUGCUGCGUGAGUGAUGAAGGCCUGAGGGUUGUAAAGCUCUUUUACCCGGGAGGAUAAUGACAGUACCGGGAGAAUAAGCACCGGCUAACUCCGUG